rnacentral:misc_RNA from 1 species
AACUUUUAGCAAUGGAUCUCUUGGCUCUCGCAUCGAUGAAGAACGCAGCGAAAUGCGAUAAGUAAUGCGAAUUGCAGAAUUCAGCGAGUCAUCGAAUCUUUGAACGCACAUUGCGCCCCGUGGUAUUCCGCGGGGCAUGCCUGUCCGAGCGUCAUUUCAACCCUCAAGCCCCGGCUUGGUGUUGGGCCUCGCCCGUCCGCGGCCGGCCCCAAAGGCAGUGGCGGCGCCGUCCGGCCCUGAGCGCAGUACCUCUCUCGCUCCAGGGUCCCGCGGUGGCCUGCCAGAACCCCCUAAUGCUAUGGUUGACCUCGGAUCAGGUAGGGAUACCCGCUGAACUUAAGCAUAUCAAUAAGCGGAGGCU